rnacentral:rRNA from 1 species
CUGAAUAACUAUGCUGAUCGCACAGUCCUCGCACUGGCGACAAAUCUUUCAAAUGUCUGGCUUAUCAACUUUCGACGGUAGUAUACACGACUACCGUGGUGGUCACGGGUAACGGAGAAUUAGGGUUCGACUCCGGAGAGGGAGCCUGAGAAACGGCUACCACAUCCAAGGAAGGCAGCAGGCACGCAAAUUACCCACUCCCGGCACGGGGAGGUAGUGACGAAAAAUAACGAGACGGUUCUCUAAGAGGCCCGUCAUCGAAAUGGGUACAAUUUAAAUCCUUUAACGAGGAUCUAUUGGAGGGCAAGUCUGGUGCCAGCAGCCGCGGUAAUUCCAGCUCCAAAAGCGUAUAUUAAAGUUGUUGCGGUUAAAAAG